rnacentral:rRNA from 1 species
GACGAACGCUGGCGGCGUGCUUAACACAUGCAAGUCGAACGGAAAGGCCCUGCUUUUGUGGGGUGCUCGAGUGGCGAACGGGUGAGUAACACGUGAGUAACCUGCCCUUGACUUUGGGAUAACUUCAGGAAACUGGGGCUAAUACCGGAUAGGAGCUCCUGCUGCAUGGUGGGGGUUGGAAAGUUUGGGCGGUUGGGGAUGGACUCGCGGUUUAUAAGCUUGUUGGUGGGGUAGUGGCUUACCAAGGCUUUGACGGGUAGCCGGCCUGAGAGGGUGACCGGCAACAUUGGGACUGAGAUACGGCCCAGACUCCAACGGGAGGCAGCAGUGGGGAAUAUUGCACAAUGGGCGGAAGCCUGAUGCAGCAACGCCGCGUGCGGGAUGACGGCCUUCGGGUUGUAAACCGCUUUCGCCUGUGACGAAGCGUGAGUGACGGUAAUGGGUAAAGAAGUACCGGCUAACUACGUGCCAGCAGCCGCCGUAA